rfam:Myotis brandtii contig272137, whole genome shotgun sequence.
GGUGGUUCUCAGGUGAUGAGCUCCGGAAUAGGCCUCCCUCCUCUCUGGUUCCGGGUGCAUCAUCCGAAAACCACA